GACAUAGGUGGCAAACGUUAUCCGGAUUUAUUGGGCGUAAAGGAUGCGUAGAUGGCAGAAAAAAGUUACUGGUUGAAGUUAGGCUCAACCUGAUGGAAGUCAGUAAUACUAUUCUACUAGAGGACAGGAGAGGUUGGCGGAACUCACACGAGUAAGGGUGAAAUCUAUUGAUCCGUGGAGGACCACCAAAAAAGGCGAAGGCAGCUAACUAUUCUGCUCCUGACAUUGAAGCAUGAAAGCGUGGGGAGCAAACCGG
rnacentral:rRNA from 1 species